rnacentral:rRNA from 1 species
AGAUUGAACGCUGGCGGCAGGCCUAACACAUGCAAGUCGAGCGGCAGCACGGGUACUUGUACCUGGUGGCGAGCGGCGGACGGGUGAGUAAUGCCUAGGAAUCUGCCUGAUAGUGGGGGAUAACGUUCGGAAAUGGACGCUAAUACCGCUAUACGUCCUACGGGAGAAAGUGGGGGAUCUUCGGACCUCACGCUAUCAGAUGAGCCUAGGUCGGAUUA